UACGGAGGGAGCUAGCGUUAUUCGGAAUUACUGGGCGUAAAGCGCACGUAGGCGGCUUUGUAAGUUAGAGGUGAAAGCCUGGAGCUCAACUCCAGAAUUGCCUUUGAUACUGCAUGGCUUGAAUCCAGGAGAGGUGAGUGGAAUUCCGAGUGUAGAGGUGAAAUUCGUAGAUAUUCGGAAGAACACCAGUGGCGAAGGCGGCUCACUGGCCCGGUACUGACGCUGAUGUGCGAAAGCGUGGGGAGCAAACAGG
rnacentral:rRNA from 1 species